UGCGUAGGCGGAUUAAUAAGUCAGUGGUGAAAACCUGCAGCUUAACUGUAGACUUGCCAUUGAUACUGUUAUUCUUGAGUACGGUCAAGGUAGGCGGAAUGUGUAAUGUAGCGGUGAAAUGCUUAGAUAUUACACAGAACACCGAUUGCGAAGGCAGCUUACUGGGCCAUUACUGACGCUGGGGCACGAAAGCGUGGGGAGCGAACAGGAUUAGAUACCCUGGUAGUCC
rnacentral:rRNA from 1 species